rnacentral:tRNA from 1 species
GCAGUCGUGGCCGAGUGGUUAAGGCGAUGGACUAGAAAUCCACCCCGCACAGGUUCGAAUCCUGUCGACUGCG